rnacentral:sRNA from 1 species
AAUUCGGGUUCCAGCCACGUCUGGAGUCUCGGAGACGAGCUUCUCAGAAGAGCCAAAACAGGAACCGAGGUGGCAAAUCACUGCGAGGGCGAGUGGACCUCCCUCUUUGCCUCCUCCCUGUUCCAGGAGCUGGUCCCCUGGGCUCUGCGCUGUUGUUUUCAGCGCUCCGAAAGCCGGCGCUUCAGAUCCAGGCAAGUGAAUCCAGCCAGGCAGUUUUCCCUUCAGCACCUCGGACAGAACACGCAUGUUCAAUGAGCUGUUUGUCUUUGAUAUUCCUUGUGAGGGCCUUGAAGAUAUAAGUGUUGAAUUUUUGGUUUUGGAUUCUGAAAGGGGGUCCCGAAAUGAGGUAAUCGGGCAGUUAGUCUUGGGUGCAGCAGCAGAAGGAACUGGUGGAGAGCACUGGAAAGAGAUCUGUGACUACCCCAGGAGACAAAUUGCCAAGUGGCACGUGCUCUGUGAUGGUUAGCAUCCUAGCCGUGAGUUGGAACUUAAAGGUUUUUGCUAGGCAAGGAGAAAUCUUGUUUCUUUCGAUAUCGGAUUGCAAGCUUGGGAAAUCAAGCUACCUUUUUUUUGUUGUUGUUGUUGCUAGAAGUGGAUUGAAUUAGUAGACCAGAAAGUAACUUCAAAUGUGUAUCAUGAUAAUUUCCCUAUUUAUUAGAAGAGUUGGAUAAAUUUUCAUAAGAUACUCAGUAUCUCCUUCAGAUUACCAGUGAUAUAACUAGGAAUAGUCAGACAUUUUAUGAAUACUGUGCCAGAAUCCCAAAUUAUAAAUGUGACAAUCUUAUUGGAACAUGUCACAAAAAGUUAAUGUGAUUAAAAUUUAAAAACAAAAAGUAUGCCUUGCCUUGUGAAAAUUUAUCCAUUUAUCUUCAGGUUGGGGAAAUCAAUUUUUCUUUAAAUCCAAAGAUACUAAAAAAAUGUCCUCCAGUUUGUAUUUAUUAAUUAUGUCAUGUGCAAAUGGUUGUCCUGCAUAUAAAAGUAUCUGGUCAUUUCAGUUUGGUUUGUAAUUAUUCGAUGCAAUUUUAUCAUGAGUAACUUAGAUUCAUUUCAAAAGGACAGUGAACAAGCUGAGAAAUUAUUUUAUCAAAGGGCUGAGUUGAGAACACUGUGGCUGAAAUAUAAUUUUUCUCCCCCCUAA